AUACGUAGGGCGCAAGCGUUAUCCGGAAUUAUUGGGCGUAAGAGCUCGUAGGCGGUUGUCGCGUCUGCUGUGAAAUCCCGAGGCUCAACCUCGGGCUGCAGUGGGUACGGGCAGACUAGAGUGCGGUAGGGGAGAUUGGAAUUCCUGGUGUAGCGGUGGAAUGCGCAGAUAUCAGGAGGAACACCGAUGGCGAAGGCAGAUCUCUGGGCCGUAACUGACGCUGAGGAGCGAAAGGGUGGGGAGCAAACAGGCUUAGAUACCCUGGUAGUCCACCCCGUAAACGUUGGGAACUAGUUGUGGGGUCCAUUCCACGGAUUCCGUGACGCAGCUAACGCAUUAAGUUCCCCGCCUGGGGAGUACGGCCGCAAGGCUAAAACUCAAAGGAAUUGACGGGGACCCGCACAAGCGGCGGAGCAUGCGGAUUAAUUCGAUGCAACGCGAAGAACCUUACCAAGGCUUGACAUAUACGAGAACGGGCCAGAAAUGGUCAACUCUUUGGACACUCGUAAACAGGUGGUGCAUGGUUGUCGUCAGCUCGUGUCGUGAGAUGUUGGGUUAAGUCCCGCAACGAGCGCAACCCUCGUUCUAUGUUGCCAGCACGUAAUGGUGGGAACUCAUGGGAUACUGCCGGGGUCAACUCGGAGGAAGGUGGGGAUGACGUCAAAUCAUCAUGCCCCUUAUGUCUUGGGCUUCACGCAUGCUACAAUGGCCGGUACAAAGGGCUGCAAUACCGUGAGGUGGAGCGAAUCCCAAAAAGCCGGUCCCAGUUCGGAUUGAGGUCUGCAACUCGACCUCAUGAAGUCGGAGUCGCUAGUAAUCGCAGAUCAGCAACGCUGCGGUGAAUACGUUCCCGGGUCUUGUACACACCGCCCGUCAAGUCAUGAAAGUCGGUAACACCUGAAGCCGGUGGCCUAACCCUUGUGGAGGGAGCCGUCGAAGGUGGGAUCGGUAAUUAGGACUAAGUCGUAACAAGGUAGCCGUA
rnacentral:rRNA from 1 species